rnacentral:rRNA from 1 species
UACGAAGGGGGCUAGCGUUGCUCGGAAUCACUGGGCGUAAAGGGUGCGUAGGCGGGUCUUUAAGUCAGAGGUGAAAUCCUGGAGCUCAACUCCAGAACUGCCUUUGAUACUGAAGAUCUUGAGUUCGGGAGAGGUGAGUGGAACUGCGAGUGUAGAGGUGAAAUUCGUAGAUAUUCGCAAGAACACCAGUGGCGAAGGCGGCUCACUGGCCCGAUACUGACGCUGAGGCACGAAAGCGUGGGGAUCAAACAGG